AUUAUGCUGACAUGAGUAACGAUAAAAUAUGUGAAAAACAUAUUCGCCGUAAAUCCAAGGUUUCCUGGGUAAAGGUAAUCUUCCCAGGGUUAGUCGGACCCUAAGGCCAGGCUGAAAGGCGUAGCUGAUGGGAAACGGGUUAAUAAUCCUGUACUUGUGCGAUUGUGCGAAGAAGGGACGCAGGAUGGUAGACAGGCCGGUUUUUGGAAUCCGGUGCAAGUGCGUAGGCGUGCUCCGCAGGCAAAUCCGCGGAGAUGAGCCGAGACACGAGUCCGUGGGCGUAAGCCCUGAAGCUGUUGAGCCACGGCUGCCAAGAAAAGCUUCUAAGUUUAGAUCGCGCGAACCGUACCGCAAACCAACUCAGGUGGAUGGGAUGAAUAAUCCAAGGCGCUCGAGAGAACUCUGGCCAAGGAACUCGGCAAAUUGACCCCGUACCUUCGGAAUAAGGGGUGCUCCCCAUGGUGAGGCAGAUUCUUGCUCAGCCCCGGGGAGCCGCAGAGAAAUGGUGGUGGCGACUGUUUACUAAAAACAUAGGUCUGUGCGAAGUCCUACAGACGACGUAUACGGACUGACGCCUGCCCGGUGCCGGAAGGUUAAAAGGAGGAGUCAGCGCAAGCGAAGCUCCGAUUUGAAGCCCCGGUAAACGGCGGCCGUAACUAUAACGGUCCUAAGGUAGCGAAAUUCCUUGUCGGGCAAGUUCCGACCUGCACGAAUGGCGUAACGAUCUCCACGCUGUCUCGGCCAGAGACUCGGUGAAAUUGAAGUCGCGGUGAAAAUGCCGUGUACCCGCAGAAAGACGGAAAGACCCUGUGCACCUUUACUAUAGCUUGACAUUGGGUUUUGAACCUGCAUGUGUAGGAUAGGUGGGAGGCUGUGAAAGCUGUACGCCAGUAUGGCCGGAGCCACCCGUGAAAUACCACCCUUGUUUGUUCAGGACCCUAACUCGCAGCUGUAAUCCAGCGCGAAGACAGUGUCUGGUGGGUAGUUUGACUGGGGCGGUCGCCUCCUAAAGAGUAACGGAGGCAUGCAAAGGUUCCCUCAGGCUGAUUGGAAACCAGCCGUUGAGUGCAAGCGCAUAAGGGAGCUUGACUGCAAGAGAGACAUCUCGAACAGAUACGAAAGUAGGUGCUAGUGAUCCGGUGGUCCCGAAUGGAAGGGCCAUCGCUCAUUGGAUAAAAGGUACGCCGGGGAUAACAGGCUGAUCGCAUCCAAGAGUUCACAUCGACGAUGCGGUUUGGCACCUCGAUGUCGGCUCAUCACAUCCUGGGGCUGAAGCAGGUCCCAAGGGUACGGCUGUUCGCCGUUUAAAGUGGUACGCGAGCUGGGUUUAAAACGUCGUGAGACAGUUUGGUCCCUAUCUUCUGUGGGCGUAGGAGAAUUGAGAGGGUUUGUCCCUAGUACGAGAGGACCGGGAUGAACGCACCACUGGUGGAUCAGUUGUCGCGCCAGCGGCAUAGCUGAGUAGCUAUGUGCGGAAUGGAUAACCGCUGAAAGCAUCUAAGCGGGAAGCCAGCCUCGAGAUAAGUUCUCCCUGUCGCAAGACACUAAAGGGCCGAUGAAGACUACAUCGUUGAUAGGCCGGAGGUGGAAGCGCUGCGAAGCGUGGAGCUGACCGGUACUAAUAGCCCGUGCGCCUUAUAU
rnacentral:rRNA from 1 species